rnacentral:rRNA from 1 species
UGGGGAAUUUUGGACAAUGGGCGAAAGCCUGAUCCAGCAAUGCCGCGUGUGUGAAGAAGGCCUUCGGGUUGUAAAGCACUUUUGUCCGGAAAGAAAUCCUUGGCUCUAAUACAGUCGGGGGAUGACGGUACCGGAAGAAUAAGCACCGGCUAACUACGUGCCAGCAGCCGCGGUAAUACGUAGGGUGCAAGCGUUAAUCGGAAUUACUGGGCGUAAAGCGUGCGCAGGCGGUUUGCUAAGACCGAUGUGAAAUCCCCGGGCUCAACCUGGGAACUGCAUUGGUGACUGGCAGGCUAGAGUAUGGCAGAGGGGGGUAGAAUUCCACGUGUAGCAGUGAAAUGCGUAGAGAUGUGGAGGAAUACCGAUGGCGAAGGCAGCCCCCUGGGCCAAUACUGACGCUCAUGCACGAAAGCGUGGGGAGCAAACAGGAUUAGAUACCCUGGUAGUCCACGCCCCUAAAACGAUGUCAACUAGUUGUUGGGGAUUCAUUUCCUUAGUAACGUAGCUAACGCGUGAAGUUGACCGCCUGGGGAGUACGGUCGCAAGAUUAAAACUCAAAGGAAUUGACGGGGUCAUAGCUGUUUCCU